AACGAACGCUGGCGGCAUGCCUAACACAUGCAAGUCGAACGAAGGCUUCGGCCUUAGUGGCGCACGGGUGCGUAACGCGUUGGAAUCUGCCCUUUGGUUCGGAAUAACAGCUGGAACCGGCUGCUAAUGCCGGAUGAUGACGAAAGUCCAAAGAUUUAUCGCCAGAGGAUGAGCCCGCGUUGGAUUAGGUAGUUGGUGGGUAAAGUCCUACCAAGCCGACGAUCCAUAGCUGGUCUGAGAGGAUGAUCAGCCACACUGGGACUGAGACACGGCCCAGACUCCUACGGGAGGCAGCAGUGGGGAAUAUUGGACAAUGGGCGCAAGCCUGAUCCAGCAAUGCCGCGUGAGUGAUGAAGGCCCUAGGGUUGUAAAGCUCUUUUACCCGGGAAGAUAAUGACUGUACCGGGAGAAUAAGCCCCGGCUAACUCCGUG
rnacentral:rRNA from 1 species